rnacentral:rRNA from 1 species
GCUCUCAUACUGCAUUGAAUUGUUGUUGCGGUUAAAAAAGCUCGUAGUUGGAUCUGUACACGAUAGGGUGGUUCGUCCUUUGGAUGGUAACUACUACUAAGUGUUUUUUAAUAGAUUUUGUGCUUUCCGUUAAAAAGAGAGUACAUGUCUAUUAAGUUACUUUGAAUAAAAUCAGAGUGCUCAAAACAGGCGUAAGCUUG